rnacentral:rRNA from 1 species
UACGGAGGAUGCAGGCGUUAUCCGGAUUUAUUAGGUUUAAAGGGUGCGCAGGCGGUAUUAUAAGUCAGUGGUGAAAGUCUGCCGCUUAACGGUAGGAUUGCCAUUGAUACUGUAGUACUUGAGUGUAAUCGAGGCAGGCGGAAUGUGUCAAGUAGCGGUGAAAUGCAUAGAUAUGACACAGAACACCAAUUGCGAAGGCAGCUUGCUAGGCUACAACUGACGCUCAUGCACGAAAGCGUGGGGAUCAAACAGGAUUAGAUACCCUGGUAGUCCACGCUGUAAACGAUGAUAACUGGCUGUUGGCGAUAAACUGUCAGCGGCUGAGCGAAAGCAUUAAGUUAUCCACCUGGGGAGUACGACGGCAACGUUGAA